rnacentral:rRNA from 1 species
UACGUAGGGCGCAAGCGUUAUCCGGAAUUAUUGGGCGUAAAGAGCUCGUAGGCGGUUUGUCGCGUCUGCCGUGAAAGUCCGGGGCUCAACUCCGGAUCUGCGGUGGGUACGGGCAGACUAGAGUGAUGUAGGGGAGACUGGAAUUCCUGGUGUAGCGGUGAAAUGCGCAGAUAUCAGGAGGAACACCGAUGGCGAAGGCAGGUCUCUGGGCCUUACCUGACGCUGAGGAGCGGAAGCGUGGGUAGCGAACAGG